UACGUAGGUGGCAAGUGUUGUCCGGAAUUACUGGGUGUAAAGGGAGCGCAGGCGGGAAGCCAAGUCAGCUGUGAAAACUACGGGCUUAACUUGUAGACUGCAGUUGAAACUGGUUUUCUUGAGUGAAGUAGAGGUUGGCGGAAUUCCGAGUGUAGCGGUGAAAUGCGUAGAUAUUCGGAGGAACACCGGUGGCGAAGGCGGCCAACUGGGCUUUAACUGACGCUGAGGCUCGAAAGUGUGGGGAGCAAACAGG
rnacentral:rRNA from 1 species